rnacentral:rRNA from 1 species
GACGAACGCUGGCGGCGUGCUUAACACAUGCAAGUCGAACGAAGAGCGAUGGAAGCUUGCUUCUAUCAAUCUUAGUGGCGAACGGGUGAGUAACGCGUAAUCAACCUGCCCUUCAGAGGGGGACAACAGUUGGAAACGACUGCUAAUACCGCAUACGAUCUAAACUCGGCAUCGAGGAUAGAUGAAAGGUGGCCUCUACAUUUAAGCUAUCACUGAAGGAGGGGAUUGCGUCUGAUUAGUUAGUUGGGGGGGUAACGGCCAACCAGGACGAUGAUCGGUAGCGGGCCGGGGAGAUGGACGGGCAAAAUGGGACUGGAACAAGGGCCAGACUCCUACGGGAAGGAGCAGGGGGGAAACUUCCGCAAUGGACGGAAGGCUGACGGAGGAAAGGCGCGGGGGUGAUGGCGGGCUUCGGGUUGUUAAGCUCUGUUAAUCGGGACGAAAGGCCUUCUUGCGAAUAGUGAGAAGGAUUGACGGUACCGGAAGAGAAAGCCACGGCUAACUACGUG